rnacentral:rRNA from 1 species
UGGGGAAUAUUGCACAAUGGAGGAAACUCUGAUGCAGCGAUGCCGCGUGAGGGAAGAAGGUUUUAGGAUUGUAAACCUCUGUCUUCGGGGACGAAAAAAAGACGGUACCUGAGGAGGAAGCUCCGGCUAACUACGUGCCAGCAGCCGCGGUAAUACGUAGGGAGCGAGCGUUGUCCGGAAUUACUGGGUGUAAAGGGAGCGUAGGCGGGAUCGCAAGUCAGAUGUGAAAACUAUGGGCUUAACCCAUAAACUGCAUUUGAAACUGUGGUUCUUGAGUGAAGUAGAGGUAAGCGGAAUUCCUAGUGUAGCGGUGAAAUGCGUAGAUAUUAGGAGGAACAUCAGUGGCGAAGGCGGCUUACUGGGCUUUAACUGACGCUGAGGCUCGAAAGCGUGGGGAGCAAACAGGAUUAGAUACCCUGGUAGUCCACGCCGUAAACGAUGAUUACUAGGUGUGGGGGGACUGACCCCUUCCGUGCCGCAGCAAACGCAAUAAGUAAUCCACCUGGGGAGUACGACCGCAAGGUUGAAACUCAAAGGAAUUGACGGGGGCCCGCACAAGCAGUGGAGUAUGUGGAUUAAUUCGAAGCAACGCGAAGAACCUUACCAGGUCUUGACAUCGUAUGCAUAGCUCAGAGAUGAGUGAAAUCUCUUCGGAGACAUAUAGACAGGUGGUGCAUGGUUGUCGUCAGCUCGUGUCGUGAGAUGUUGGGUUAAGUCCCGCAACGAGCGCAACCCUUACUGUUAGUUGCUACGCAAGAGCACUCUAGCAGGACUGCCGUUGACAAAACGGAGGAAGGUGGGGAUGACGUCAAAUCAUCAUGCCCCUUAUGACCUGGGCCUCACACGUACUACAAUGGCUGUCAACAGAGGGAUGCAAAGCCGCGAGGUGGAGCGAACCCCUAAAAGCAGUCUUAGUUCGGAUUGUAGGCUGCAACCCGCCUACAUGAAGUCGGAAUUGCUAGUAAUCGCAGAUCAGCAUGCUGCGGUGAAUACGUUCCC